rnacentral:rRNA from 1 species
UACGUAGGUGGCAAGCGUUGUCCGGAUUUACUGGGUGUAAAGGGCGUGCAGCCGGGCUGACAAGUCAGAUGUGGAAUCCCGCGGCUCAACCGCGGAACUGCAUUUGAAACUGUCAGUCUUGAGUACCGGAGAGGUCAUCGGAAUUCCUUGUGUAGCGGUGAAAUGCGUAGAUAUAAGGAAGAACACCAGUGGCGAAGGCGGAUGACUGGACGGCAACUGACGGUGAGGCGCGAAAGCGUGGGGAGCAAACAGG